CAAAGGUAUCAAUCUAACAUGUUUUUUCUGGUCCCUACAUCUCAGGUCUAUAUUAUUGACAUUAAAUCAACGUUGAUUUGAUGUCAGGAAAUAAGACGUCAAAUUGAUGUGAAAUUUAUGUCAAAACAACGUCUGUUAAAAUGUCUGAAAAGGUAUAUUAUUAGCCUACUCAUUGUAAAUCGACGCGAGUUUUUCAACAUCCUGACCCACACAGCAGAGGGUUCCAAAACGGACCCUCUGCGGCGGACUCCGUGCGGAUACGCACAUCGAAGCGCCCUUUCCAGUCCUAACGGCUCCUUCAGUUUUCAAAUUUCUCGUUGAUGAAGUGGAAGACGAAACAGCGGCGUCUGAAGGCUCACUGUCAUUCACAAGUGGCUCCAGUCUGGUUUGGGGGUUCUGCCAUCCAAGUAAAGUUAUUCACAAGUGGCUCCAGUCUGGUUUGGGGGUCUACGCUUUCUCAUCCUGUCCUGCC